AUUGAACGCUGGCGGCAGGCUUAACACCUGCAAGUCGAACGAGUGGCGGACGGGUGAGUAAUGCUUGGGAAUCUUGCUUAUGGAGGGGGAUAACUACGGGAAACUGUAGCUAAUACCGCGUACCAUAGGAUGAGCCCAAGUGGGAUUAGGUAGGUGGUGGGGUAAAGGCUCACCAAGCCGACGAUCUCUAGCUGGUCUGAGAGGAGGACCAGCCACACUGGAACUGAGACACGGCCCAGACUCCUACGUGAGGCAGCAGGGGGGAAUAUUGCGCAAUGGGGGCAACCUGACGCAGCCAUGCCGCGUGAAUGAAGAAGGCCUUCGGGUUGUAAAGUACUUUCAGUAGCGAGGCGUUACCUGCAGAAGAAGCACCGGCUAACUCCGUGCCAGCAGCCGCGGUAAUUC
rnacentral:rRNA from 1 species